ACAGCAGUAGCCGCGGUAAUACAGAGGGUGCAAGCGUUAAUCGGAAUUACUGGGCGUAAAGCGCGCGUAGGUGGUUCGCCAAGUUGGAUGUGAAAUCCCCGGGCUCAACCUGGGAACUGCAUCCAAAACUGGCGAGCUAGAGUAUGGUAGAGGGUGGUGGAAUUUCCUGUGUAGCGGUGAAAUGCGUAGAUAUAGGAAGGAACAUCAGUGGCGAAGGCGACCACCUGGACUGAUACUGACACUGAGGUGCGAAAGCGUGGGGAGCAAACAGGAUUAGAUACCCGAGUAGUCCCUGUCUCUUAUAC
rnacentral:rRNA from 1 species